CGAGACUGUGUUUGGUAUGACAGAAGUCAUUUUCCUAGAAAAUAUUUUCUGGUGGCUGGUUGGUGAAUGCAAAAUAUUUUUUGUAUAUAUUAAAAAUUAAUAAUAAUAAUAUUAUCAAAUUGAAAAGUGUUCUAAUGAAAUUUUUAUGUGCUAAUUAAGACUAAUGAAAAUGUCUAAGUAGUCAGAGCAACCAAUAUGAAGGUAAAAUUUAAGAUAGUUUUACAGAGAAAGUCAUUUUCUCCAUUUCGUUGGAAAAUGUUCCGAUAGGCAAACACUAGAAAAUGACUCCUAGUGAAAAACGUUUCAUGAAAAAGCGGCCCGAGUUUUAUUGGAAACCUUUUUUUUUUUGGUAAUCAGUUUUAUCGGCAAACUAUUAUUCGGUUGACACUUGCUACUAUCAUGAAGAUUAUAAUUAGUCAUUUUAGGUAAUUCAUAAUUUUUUGUGUAUUUUCCCCACUUGCGGGAUUAUACUGGGUUUGUUGUUGUUGUUAUAUAAUUUUUUUGUAUUUUCUUGAAUACUAAUUAUGAAUAUUAUAUAGUUUUGGAUUUAGGCGAAAUAGGAGAAGCAGCUGUUAAGGAAAAAUAAAAAGGCAAAUGCGGACUUGAUACAAUGGUUAUAAAAAAAGGAAGGGAAAAAAAAAAGGAAGAUGCGGAAUUUCUGCCAAGCACUUUGAGACAUUUGCAGUUGGAUUUUAAAAGUACUAAUCACAGUUGUCUACCACUUUACAGAGUAUUUUAGCACUGUCAGUUAGAGCUUUUUUUGGUUUCCCACUCCGUGUCCGAUAUCCGUAUUGGGGCUCGACUAAAUUUGGAUUCACGCCGGGAAGUCCCAUAGUGAAAGUAAAGAACUCUCUAACAAAGGCGACUCCAUACAGAGGCUCACACCCGAGACCUCUGUUUAAGGAUGAAUGAGUACUUACCACUACACCACAACCCUUGUUAGUUUGUCAAUUAGAGCUUAUCUCAACUUCUCUGUUUAGUUUCUUUUGAGUGUUUGAAAUUGGUUUGAAGACAAUUGUUUUUCGGAUUGUACUCGAAAAACUAUUUUCUAUUGUUUUAAUUGUUCAACUAUUAUCUUGCUUAUUUACAUUUAAGGCAAGGCUUUCUGUAAUAUAUUUCAACAUCUGUAUAUUCUGGAGUUAGAGAACAUCUAUUUUGCCAACAUAUUUGAACUCUCAUCCUCAGUUGACGGACUCAAAAGCCUACAAGUCACAAACAUGCUUGAUCCAGAUAUUGCUCAAGCAGAUUAGCUUGAUUAAUUUGAUUACAACAACAACAUAAUACCCAGUCUUAUUCCACACAGUGGGGUCUGGGAAGGUAGUGUGUACGUAGACCUUACCCCUACCUUGUGAGGAAAGGGAGGUUGUUUUCAAUAGACCCUCGGCUCAGGAAAGCAUAAGCACUACAAUAAUGAAAAUAUAGACAAGAAGGGACAAUCAAAAAGCCAUAUAAAAGCAGAAUAAAAACAAGAUAUUAAGGUAAUCAACAAUGAAAGAAAACAACGGUUAGUCAUAAAAACCUACUGCCCACAGAAAGCGAGACUACGUGCCAGCUUGAUUAAUUUGAUUAACUUAAGAGAUUAAAUUUAGCUACUCGAUAUGGAGAAACUCUGCAAGUCGGCAAACUCACAAAUUGACAAACUCCUAAAUACAUUCGAUAUGAUCAGAGGAAAAAUGUUAAUGGUGUUGGUUUGGUCAAUCCUCAAGAACUAGUUGUGGAAGUAUUUGGAAAUCUUACUCCUUAAAUACCGUUAGCAAUUUUCACUUAGUACUCUUAUGCUAUGUUGUAAAUCUUGGGAAUUAUUUCCAACCCCUGAACCACUUUCUUCUUUUCAAUACCAAACUAGUAAAAGGAAAAGCUCUACAUCUAAGCUAUAAAAAACCAGCCUAGUUGGAUGGAGAAUAUCAUCCUCCUACAAAAGGGGAAACAUUUCAGCAUUUCUGAACAUAACAUUUAGAUCAUAAGUUCACAUUUAGAGUUGCAACCAAUCAACUUCAUUUUUUUAAUUAAUUCAAGUAAUAGAAAAGCACAAUGCACAUUACCUAAAGUAUUGGCUAACACAAGGUUCCCUCAAUUAUGCUUUUCUUAGUUGUUCUCAACCAAUUCCUUAGAAUUUCUCCAUAUUUAAUCCAUAGUUCAAUCAUCAAUAGAUCAAUUUCAUCAUAAUAACUAUUACCCAAGGUUGCCCAUAUCAAUUAGACACCGAAGAGUGUGGCCCAGUGGUUAAUGAAGUGAUUGUAAACUUUGAAGACUAGAGUUCAAAUCUUAGCAGAGACAAAAAUACUAGGGUACAGUACUUCUUCUUUGUUCAGUCUUUCCAUAAAGAAUUUAACUUAUAUACAAUUGAAAGUGUAAAAACUUUUUCACUAUCAAAUGUACUAAUAGUGUAGAAAUUUUCUUGCAUUGUCUGUGCUCUUUGAUAAAUAUAUGUGCAGAAGAACUAGGGUAUAUUAUCAAUUAGUUUCCUUUUUCAUUUUUCACUUUUCUACAGGAUUUGAGGGGAGCCUUGAAACAACAGUAAAGUUGUAUCUGUGUGACCUAUAAGUAAUGGGUUCGAGCCGUAGAAGCAGCCACUAAUGUUUGCAUUAGGGUAGGCUAUCUAUAUCACACCCCUUAGGGUGCGGCCCUUCUCCGGAUCCACGGGAUGCCUGUGCACUAGGUCCAUAAUUUACAGAACUUUCUACCCCUUUUCAGCUGGCAAAUCCCAUUCUUCUACAAAAUGUCGUAACUAUGUUGACAACUACCAAAACACAGAAGAACUCAUUCCUGAGAGGGGACAUGAAUUAAGGAACUAAAUUACUUCUCCCCCCCCCCCCCCUAAGAAUAACAUGAUCAGAGUACUAUUAGUGAUUUCAAUUUUUAACAGCUAAAAAAUUGAUUAGAAUGUAUUAACAGAACAGUUUGACUUUGUGAAUAGGAAUGGAGGUACCUUUUUUGAAGAAUUACGAGGAAGAUUAGCUGAAGAAGAACAGUAAAUGUCUUGGAAACUUCCUUUCAUUUUCUUCAAAUGGAAAAAUAAAGAGUUUAGACUUUAUUACUUUUCAAAUUCGGAAGGUUAUUGGGUUCAUAGGAGGAUGACGGCGGAAGAGGGUGGCGUUGAAGGAAGCGGAGGGAGUUCUUCAGCUUCUGCUUCAGAGAUGGAGAAAGGAUCGUUAUAUCUUCCAUUGGAGUUGAGAUUGAGAUUUGAGACUGAAAUUGAAGGGUUUACAUUAUGUUUGUAGAGAAAUGCAAAAACGAAGGGAAGAUGGGGAGGAAAUUUUAUGUAGCUAUACAUCGAAAUUUUUCUUUCUG
rnacentral:lncRNA from 1 species